rnacentral:rRNA from 1 species
CCUACCUUUGACAGCAUUGGGGAAUAGGGCAAAAGGGGAAAACAAAUGAAGGAGAAAUGCAGCGUGUAUGAAGAAUGCCUUCGUGUUGUAAAGUACUUUCAGUCGUGAGGAAGGGGGUAAGUGGAAAAAAAAAAAAACAUGACGAUAAAGAAAGAAAACGCACCGGAACACUCCGUGCCAGCAGCCGCGGUAAUACGGAGGGUGCGAGCGUUAAUCGGAAUUACUGGGCGUAAAGGGCACGCAGGCGGUUAAUUAAGUUGGAUGUGAAAUCCCCGGGCUUAACCUGGGAAUGGCAGUCAAGACUGGUUAGCUAGAGUCUUGUAGAGGGGGGUAGAACGUGUGGUGUUGCGGUGAAAGUCUUAUUUGUUUUUAGUUGUGAUGGUGGCUAUGGUUUCCUGUUGGAUUAAGACUGCUGUUCUGUUGUGAAAGCGUGGGGAGCAAACAGGAUUAGAUACCCUGGUAGUC